CCUCUGUUCGAUCGUCAUGUGAAUUUGAUUCAACGACGCGAGAACGGAGGACU
rnacentral:pre_miRNA from 1 species